ensembl:snRNA U1 U1 spliceosomal RNA
AUACUUACCUGGCAAGGGAGAUACCGUGAUCAAGAAGGCGGUUCACCCAGGGUGAGGCUCAGCCAUUGCACUCCGGCUGUGCUGACCCCUGCGAAUGGGGAUGCGCCGUAGAGUAGUGCAAUUGCCCC